UUGAGUUUCCUUUGCUCUGCGUUUCAAUAUGGGCUCUCAACGUUUGCAGGAAAAUCUAGGGCAGGCAGGCACUAUCCUUCUCCAUAGGCCACCUUUCGAUGGGAGCUAGCUAGCUAGGCUACGCAUCAAAUGCAUCGACUCCAUGGAUAGUUGGCCGGCAGCUCCACUCUAUGGAAAUGGAAGUAAGUGAUGGGGCUUUUAAAUACCUUGUCACUGAAAUAUGUAGAUUGCUACCUGUUGUUAUCAUCAUCAUGGCUCUUGGUGCUCCUGUCACAAUUCAUGGCUCACAAUCUACUAGCUCAUAAAAUGUGUCAAGAAUGUGAUUAUGUGAAUAUGAAUUUUCCUUCUUAUAGACUAGUGUUUACAUAUAGGCUGGGCAUGCAUUUUCCUAUAGAUAAGCGUAUAUGUGUACAGAAUGGAUAUGUUCUGUUCAGUUGCUUUCAGGAAAGACAAAUUAAGAUGGGAGUUAGGUGUGCACCUAAUUAACGACAUGCUUACAUACGUGGUUUGCCUUUUGCCAGAUGCCUGACAUGUGAGCCCAGUCAUGCACAAGUGGAGCAGACGUGUCACCUCAGGAUCAUUCCCUCCUGAUUAUAAUAUAUCAAAAUUAGCCACAUAGUCAUAGUAAUAGUCAUAAUGGUCACCGAAUAUACACAACCGUUAAAAUUGUGUAACCCACUGAGUGCAAAAGUGAAUCGAAGAACUUAUCUCCACCAAUUAACUUGCAACCAUUCCAGCAUCCAUCAUCCAAGGAGUAAAGAUAUUCACCUUCCACCAAGCCUUCUUUUACAUGCAUCUGCCCUUACCAUUACUUACUUUAGAUGGAAGUUUAGGGAUCGAUGGCAGUCGAUUCGACUUAGCUGGAUUCGAAACAUGAGAUAUUUAUAUUUUACACCUUAAUUAGAUUCGAACUAAAAAAAGGUAAUCAACUAACCAGUGAAAAUUCUUCCAAUAUGGGAUAAAGGAGAAUGGUUUAUUGCUUCUAUUAGUUCUUUGUGAGUCAUAAGAUGUACAAAUCUCUCCGUAAAAAAAUGCACGAUUCUGAUCAAAAAGGCAAUUUAUUUAUAUUCCUUGUUAACUAGGAGCAUCACAAAUAGUUCCUAGCUAGCUAGGUUAUUUUGUGAUAAUUGAAUUGUUUCAUGUAAAACUGAUACUUCGCAGAGGUCCCGAAUCAAGUUGAGUUGAUUUUGAUACCCACUAUUUCCUUGAUUGUAUGGUUAAUCCAUAGCACCUCAUAGUAGUCCUUUGCCGUAAAAUGUAUUAUUAUUGUUUACUUUUUAGGUUGCAAGGAAUGUUUCAAACCCUUUUACAUUGGAGCUUGGUCAUACUACCUUACAAAUCCAUGUUUGCUACUUAGAAGGUUGGCUUCAUAUCUUUCUCAAGUACAUUUUUGUAGCAUGGUUGGUGUACCAUUUUGCCCUAUUGAGUGGUUUCAAAGCUCAUGCUUGGUUAACAUUUGGCCUAAUUUGCAGAAAGAAGAAUCGUGAUCCAUCAUUCAUUGUUUUGCCAAGUAGUUCUUACGGGUGGUAAAGAACACAUGUCUUCAACAAUGGACAAAGACGGUAUCCGGUCAUUUGUCCCACCGAUGACAACAGAAGAUCGAUGAAUGAUGCGGCAAUGCAAGCUUCUGUUUUCUUGAAAACAUGUAAAGGUUCUAUCGCAUUUGUCUCUAUUUAAUUUGCCUCAUACACCCUGCUUUCGAGCAUAGGUUAAGAACUGAAUCGGCAACCGAACCGGUGAGACUAUUGGUUAAGGUUUUCAUUUGUAGAACAAUGAAUACAGAUAAUAUUAGACGUUAACCAUUAAUAAAUCACAAAAGUAUUCUUAUCCUUGCUGGUUAUUGGGAUUGCCUUUCUUCAAGGUGAGGUGUUUGAUUCCCUAUAGAUGCGCCUUUUAAUUUUUUGGUAUUUCACUAAAAGAAGGUACACCUCAAAAAACCGGGCAAGCCGCUGGUUACGGUUUUUGGUUGGACCGCUGGUCUGGUCCGGGUCUUUGAACUUUGCUCUCGGCGAUUAAGCUUUCCAGAUAUUGAUAGUGGUUUUGUCUUUGUACAUGUAUCCUUUUGGUAUCCUACUAGUUCACGUUGGUAGUUGAAGACAUUGAAGCAUGUUGUUCUAGCUAGAAACAAUCUCUUUCCGUCAGCAAGUGUCUAGGUGGGUACGUUGGUUGUCUUCACGCCCCUAACUUUUUUUUACCACACUGAAAGCAAAUAUCUGGUGAUUCUGGCUGUUUACUCUUGAGAUAGAACAACAUGCUUCAAUCGCUUCAACCUCGCUUCAAUCGCUUCAACCUCGAAUGAAUCCUGUGACGUAAGCACAUCUACAGCCGGGCCCUCAAAUCCGUCUCAAACGAUCUGUGCAAUCCGUCUAGUCAUUGACCGGUCACAAAAUAUUGAUCUAGCCGGACCCUUCGUAUCCAUCUCAAACGUCCGG
rnacentral:lncRNA from 1 species